GCGGUGGAGCAUGUGGUUUAAUUCGACGCUACGCGAAGAACCUUACCUGGGCUUGACAUCCCCUGACAACCGAGAGAUCGGGCGUUCCCCUUCGGGGGACAGGGUGACAGGUGGUGCAUGGUUGUCGUCAGCUCGUGUCGUGAGAUGUUGGGUUAAGUCCCGCAACGAGCGCAACCCUCGACCUUAGUUGCCAGCAUUCAGUUGGGCACUCUAAGGUGACUGCCGGCUAAAAGUCGGAGGAAGGUGGGGAUGACGUCAAAUCAUCAUGCCCCUUAUGACCUGGGCUACACACGUGCUACAAUGGGCGGUACAAAGGGUCGCGAACCCGCGAGGGGGAGCCAAUCCCAAAAAGCCGCUCUCAGUUCGGAUUGCAGGCUGCAACUCGCCUGCAUGAAGCCGGAAUCGCUAGUAAUCGUGGAUCAGAAUGUCACGGUGAAUACGUUCCCGGGUCUU
rnacentral:rRNA from 1 species